rnacentral:rRNA from 1 species
AUUGAACGCUGGCGGCAGGCCUAACACAUGCAAGUCGAGCGGAGCGGCGGACGGGCGAGUGAUGACUAGGAAUCUGACUGGUAGUGGGGGAUAACGUCAGGACACGGGCGCUAAUAUCGCAUGCGAUCAGAUGAGCCUCGGCCGGAUUAGCUAGUUGGUGGGGUAAAGGCCUACCAAGGCGACGACCCGUAACUAGUCUGAGAGGAUGAUCAGUCACACUGGAACUGAGACACGGUCCAUACUGCUACGGGAGGCAGCAGUGGGGAAUAUUGUGAAAUGGGCGAAAGCCUGAUCCAGCCACGCCGCGUGUGUGAAGAAGGUCUUCGGAUUGGAAAGCACUUUAAGUUGGGAGGCGUUACCAACAGAGUAAGCACCGGCUAACUACGUGCCAGCAGCCGCGGUAAUUC